AGAACGAACGCUGGCGGCAGGCUUAACACAUGCAAGUCGAACGCGUGUAGCAAUACACGAGUGGCGCACGGGUGAGUAACGCGUGGAUAUCUGCCUUUUGGUUCGGAAUAACCCCGGGAAACUGGGGCUAAUACCGGAUGGUUCCUACGGGAUAAAGAUUUAUCGCCAAAAGAUGAGUCCGCGUACGAUUAGCUAGUUGGUGAGGUAAUGGCUCACCAAGGCGACGAUCGUUAGCUGGUCUGAGAGGACGAUCAGCCACACUGGGACUGAGACACGGCCCAGACUCCUACGGGAGGCAGCAGUGGGGAAUAUUGGACAAUGGGGGCAACCCUGAUCCAGCCAUGCCGCGUGAGUGAUGAAGGCCUUCGGGUUGUAAAGCUCUUUUGGCGGGACGAUGAUGACGGUACCCGCAGAAUAAGCCCCGGCUAACUUCGUCGCCAGCAGCCGC
rnacentral:rRNA from 1 species